rnacentral:rRNA from 1 species
AUUGAACGCUGGCGGCAGGCCUAACACAUGCAAGUCGAGCGGAGCGGCGGACGGGUGAGUAAUGAAUAGGAAUCUGCCUGGUAGUGGGGGAUAACGUCCGGAAACGGGCGCUAAUACCGCAUCCUAUCAGAUGAGCCUAGGUCGGAUUAGCUAGGUGGUGGGGUAAAGGCCUACAAAGGCGACGAUCCGUAGCUGGGCUGAGAGGAUGAUCAGUCAAACUGGAACUGAGACACGGUCCAGACUCCUACGGGAGGCAGCAGUGGGGAAUAUUGGGCAAUGGGCGAAAGCCUGAUCCAGCCAUGCCGCGUGUGUGAAGAAGGUCUUCGGAUUGUAAAGCACUUUAAGUUGGGAGGCGGUACCAACAGAAUAAGCACCGGCUAACUUCGUGCCAGCCGCCGCGGUAAUUC